CGACAGAAGUAUAAUAAGGAACAACAGCUAAAAAAGAUCACUGCAAAACAAAAGCAUCUCCAGGCCAUCCUUGGAGGAGCAGAGGUGAAGAUUGAACUAGAUCACGCCAGUCUGGAGGAGGAUGCAGGUACAUGGUGAUCCCUGUUUUUGGUUUUACUGUCUCUUGAAUUUAAGUCCAUCUGAAUGUUGGUUUUAGCAAUGACGUGAGAACUUCGGAGCUUGCUUCCUCAUGGACGACUACUCAGCUGAUAAGGAAACACAGCUAAACUUGACUAUUUAUAACUGUAUUUAUAGAGUAAUAAGCCUAUCUUUGGAUGGCAGAGAGUAUAGUGAAAUAUUUGGGGGAAAAGUUACUGAGAAGUCGUCUUUUUGAACAGGAAUAUAUUAAAUAUAGCAUGAUGCUAUAAUAAAUUUUA
rnacentral:sRNA from 1 species